ACUAAGCACAUAAAUAGAGCUUGAGUAUUUUUGUCUACAUGCAAAGCCUUUGGACAUUGAUUACUUUUCAUAAGAUGGCGAAAUUUACUUAUGUCUUACUGACGAUUAGUUGCAUGGCUGUUGUUGUGCAAAGCAGAGGAAGUUUGAUAAAUGAAAAGAAGAUGAUUUAAAUGAUGAUUUCUCAGCACCCAGCCUCGACAUGAAACGCUCCUUGAAAUCUAGUCAAAGAAAUUCAAAAUUGAAGAUACAAAUUGCAGUACUAAAAGGGCUUUUAAAAAAACUUCAAACAUAUCAGAAAAGUUUACACACGCAGGACAAAUACCUUAAAACUUUUAAGUUAAUGCUUCAAUCAAAAAUCAAUAAAACACAAGCACAAACGUCAAAAAAAAUAAAUUUGAAUUACAAAUUAUCAAACUGUCAUUAAAAAUAAAAGCACUUGCUGCACAUAUAGCGCCCAUUCAAGCAAAGGUGAAAAAUCUUGGCAAACAAUUGAAAACUUUUUAUCUGGAAAAUAGCAAACUCACUGGAAAAUCACGAAAAGACUGCGCAGAUCUCUACAAGAAUGGUGAAAACAAGAGCGGAGUUUAUCAAAUUGAUCCUGAUGGUCAAGGUAGUUUCAAAGUCUACUGUGACAUGACGUCAUCUGGUGGUGGUUGGACUGUGUUGCAAAGGAAUGAACUUAAAGGCGAAAACUUCUAUCGAGACUGGAAAGAGUAUAAACAAGGAUUUGGUGAUCUGAAAGGCGAAUUCUGGCUUGGAUUAGACAAAAUAUACCGACUAACGACUGCAAGAAAAAAUAAACUUCGUAUUGAUUUGACAAACAAGUCAGGAAUCAAACGAUAUGCUGCAUAUGAUUAUUUUGCUGUAAAGAAUGAAGCACAUAAAUAUCAGUUGAGUCUUGGAAAUCACUCAGGAAAUGUUGGAAAUUCAUUUUCCUGGCAUAAUGGCAUGAAGUUUACGACAAAAGAUUCAGAUAAUGAUAAACGUAAUAAUGCGAACUGUGCUAAACAAUAUAGAGGUGGUUGGUGGUAUAAUGAUUGUUAUAGUGCCUUGCUGUGCAGUAAUCGUAUAUGGUGGAGUAGUUGGGGUGGUUCUAUGAAGUUUGGUGAAAUGAAAAUCAAACCGUAAAUGACUCUCUCAUAAAAUUUUGCGUUCUUGACUUUGAUUUCCUUAUAAUAUUUAUUACUAUUGUAAAAUAUGUUAUGUAGCUUGUCUUAAUGCUUUCAAACCUGUCAAAAA